AAUGGUGGAGAUAAAUUCUCCACCGGCCAUUUCUUGCCGCCGUUGCUUAUCCGGUUAGGGUUCAACGAGUAAAAGCCAGAAAAAGGAGGCAGCAAGUUUCCUUUCACCAUGAGAGCCAAGUGGAAGAAGAAGCGCAUGAGGAGGCUGAAGAGGAAGCGCCGAAAGAUGAGACAGAGAUCCAAG